UGCGUAGGUGGUUUUGUAAGUUAGAUGUGAAAUUCCUGGGCUUAACCUGGGGACUGCGUCUGAUACUGCGAAGCUAGAGUACUGUAGAGGGAAGUGGAAUUUCCGGUGUAGCAGUGAAAUGCGUAGAUAUCGGAAGGAACAUCAGUGGCGAAGGCGACUUCCUGGACAGAUACUGACACUGAGGCACGAAAGCGUGGGGAGCAAACAGGAUUAGAUACCCUGGUAGUCCAUGCUGUAAACGAUGAAGACUGGCUGUUGGGUGCCCUUGGGCACUUAGUAGCGAAGCUAACGCGUUAAGUCUUCCGCCUGGGGAGUACGGCCGCAAGGUUAAA
rnacentral:rRNA from 1 species